GCCCCGCCUCCCUCCCGGCCCCUCCCUCCCCGAGUCCAGGGAUGCCUCGCGGAGGGAGGAGCAGGGCCAACUUCCGGUCCCCACCGGAAGAGCCCCCGCGCCCGCCCCCUUGGCGCUCCUCCUCCCAGGGCCACGCCCCCUCCUUCCCUUCCUGGCCACGCGCUCCAUCCAUCCGCUGCUCGGUCUUUGCAGCGGUUCGUGGCCAUGGCUGCGCUGGUGCUGGAGGACGGGACGGUGCUCCGCGGGAGGCCCUUCGGGGCCAGGCCCACCGGCCCCGCGCCCGCCGGGGAAGUGGUGUUCCAGACAGGGAUGGUGGGCUACCCCGAGGCACUGACGGAUCCCUCCUACAAGUCCCAGAUCCUGGUGCUGACCUACCCACUUGUGGGGAAUUACGGCGUCCCUCCGGAUGAACUGGACAAGCACGGACUCAGCCGGUGGUUCGAGUCUAGCUGCAUCCAUGUGGCCGCCCUCAUCGUGGGCGAGUGUGCCCGAAAUCCCAGCCACUGGAGUGCCAAGCGCUCCCUCGACCAGUGGCUGCAGGAACAGGGGGUCCCAGGCCUGGAAGGAGUGGACACACGAGCGCUGACCAAGAGGAUCCGGGAAAAGGGGACUUUACUGGGCCGACUGGUGCUGGACGGCAUCCACAGUCCACACCUGCCCUUUGAGGAUCCAAACCAGACACACCUGGUGAAGGAGGUCUCUGUGCAAGAGCCCCACCUGUUCAACCCAGGGGGAUCUGUGAGGGUCACAGCUGUUGAUUGUGGCCUGAAGUACAAUCAGAUUCGGUGCCUGUGUGAGCGUGGGGCAGCCGUAAGGGUCGUGCCAUGGGACCACCCCCUGGACAGUGCAGACUUUGAUGGGCUUUUUGUCAGUAAUGGCCCCGGGGACCCCCAGUUUUGCCAAGCAACGGUUACCAACCUGCGCCACAUCCUGGAGCUGCCUGCUCCGAAGCCCAUCUUUGGCAUCUGCCUGGGCCACCAACUUCUGGCCUUGUCCAUUGGGGCCAAGACCUACAAAAUGAAGUAUGGGAACCGGGGCCACAACCAGCCCUGCCUCCAUGAAGGCUCCCGGCGCUGCUUCAUCACCUCCCAAAACCAUGGCUUUGCGGUUGAGCCUGGGAGCCUCCCUCCUGGCUGGACCCCCCUCUUCACCAACGCCAAUGACCACUCCAACGAGGGUCUGGUACAUGAGGCCAAACCGUUCUUCAGUGUGCAGUUCCACCCGGAGCACAAUGCCGGCCCUAUGGACCUGGAGUGUCUCUUUGACGUCUUCCUGGAGACUGUGAAGGACACAAUAGCUGGGGGGCCGAGCCCCAAGACAGUCUCUGAGCGGAUCCAGCAGUGCCUGCGCUCAGCCGAAGCCCCGCCAGCCAGUGACGUUGCCCGCCCCCACAAAGUGCUCAUCCUGGGCUCAGGGGGUCUCUCCAUUGGCCAGGCAGGGGAGUUUGACUACUCUGGCUCCCAGGCCAUCAAAGCCCUGAAGGAGGAGAACAUCCAGACAGUGCUGAUCAAUGCCAACAUUGCCACCGUGCAGACCUCCAAGGGUCUGGCCGACAAGGUCUACUUCCUGCCCAUCACUCCUGACUACGUGGCCCAAGUGAUAAAGAACGAGCGUCCAGAUGGGAUCCUGCUCACCUUUGGAGGCCAGACAGCCCUCAACUGUGGCGUGGAGCUGACCAAGGGGGGUGUGCUGGAGCGCUACAACGUGCGCGUGCUGGGCACCCCUGUGGCUUCUAUCGAGAUGACGGAGGACCGCAAGGUCUUUGUGGAAAAGAUGGAGGAGAUUGGGGAGCACGUGGCCCCCAGUGAGGCGGCCUGCUCUCUGGAACAGGCGCUGGCAGCGGCGGAGCGUCUGGGCUACCCAGUGCUGGUGCGCUCAGCCUAUGCACUGGGCGGGCUGGGCUCAGGCUUUGCCAAUGGGCGAGAGGAGCUGACAACGCUGGUGAGCCAGGCCUUCGCCCACACCUCCCAAGUGCUGGUGGACAAGUCCCUCAAGGGCUGGAAGGAGAUCGAGUACGAGGUGGUGCGCGAUGCCUAUGACAACUGCGUCACGGUGUGCAACAUGGAGAACUUGGACCCGCUAGGCAUCCACACAGGGGAGUCCAUCGUGGUGGCGCCCACCCAGACCCUUAAUGACCGCGAGUAUAACCUCCUGCGCACCACGGCCAUCAAGGUGGUCCGGCACCUGGGCAUCGUGGGAGAGUGCAACAUCCAGUAUGCGCUGAACCCCGAGUCUGAGCAGUACUACAUCAUCGAGGUGAACGCCCGGCUGUCCCGGAGUUCUGCAUUGGCCAGCAAGGCCACUGGUUACCCCUUGGCCUAUGUGGCUGCCAAACUGGCCUUGGGCAUCCCACUGCCCGUCCUCAGGAAUUCGGUCACCAACUCCACCACAGCCUGCUUUGAACCCAGCCUGGACUACUGUGUGGUCAAGAUCCCGCGCUGGGACCUCAGCAAGUUUCUGCGCGUGAGCACCAAGAUUGGCAGCUCCAUGAAGAGUGUGGGGGAGGUCAUGGCCAUCGGCCGGAGCUUUGAGGAAGCCUUCCAGAAAGCCCUACGCAUGGUGGACGAGAACUGCCUGGGGUUUGACCACUCCAUGAAGCCAGCCUCUGACAUGGAGCUGGAGACCCCCACAGACAAGCGAAUCUUCGUGCUGGCGGCUGCCCUGCAUGCUGGCUACUCCAUCGAGCGCCUCUAUGAACUCACCAAGAUCGACCGCUGGUUCUUGCACAAAAUGAAGAAUAUCACGGACCAUGCCAUGUGCCUGGAGUCCUACCGCCAGGCCGAGCCGGGGGCCAUGCCGCCCCCUGUCCUCAGGCUGGCCAAGCAGCUGGGCUUCUCUGACAAGCAGGUGGCCCAAGCCAUUCUCAGCACGGAGCUGGCCGUGCGGAAGAUGCGGCAGGACCUGAAGAUUCUGCCAGUGGUGAAGCAGAUUGACACGGUGGCAGCCGAGUGGCCGGCCCAGACCAAUUACCUCUACCUGACCUAUAACGGGACUGAGCACGACCUGGCUUUUCGGGAGCCCCACGUCAUGGUCAUCGGCUCCGGCGUCUACCGCAUUGGCAGCAGCGUGGAGUUCGACUGGUGCGCUGUUGGCUGCAUCCAGGAGCUGCGCACGUUGGGCUACAAAACCAUCAUGGUGAACUACAACCCGGAGACAGUGAGCACCGACUACGACAUGUGCGACCGCCUUUACUUUGAUGAGAUCUCCUUUGAGGUUGUGAUGGACAUCUACGAGUUGGAGAACCCCGAGGGCGUGAUCCUGUCCAUGGGGGGGCAGCUCCCCAACAAUAUUGCCAUGGCCCUCCACCGCCAGCAGUGCCGGAUCCUGGGCACCUCCCCUGAGGCCAUUGACUCCGCCGAAAACCGCUUCAAGUUCUCCCGCCUCCUGGACACCAUCAACAUCAGCCAACCGCUCUGGAAGGAGCUCUCGGACAUGGAGUCGGCCAAGCAGUUCUGCUGCAAGGUGGGCUACCCAUGCGUGGUGCGCCCCUCCUAUGUCCUAAGCGGAGCCGCCAUGAACGUGGCCUAUUCAGACAGCGACCUGGAGCGGUUCCUGAACAACGCCGUGGCCGUCUCCAAGGAGCAGCCGGUGGUCAUCUCCAAGUUCAUCCAAGAGGCCAAGGAGAUCGAUGUGGAUGCUGUGGCCUGUGACGGCCAGGUGGUGGCUGUGGCCAUCUCUGAGCACGUAGAGAACGCGGGUGUGCAUUCGGGAGAUGCCACCCUGGUGACGCCGCCACAAGACAUCACACCCAAGACACUGGAGCGGAUCAAGGCCAUCGUCCAUGCCAUUGGACAGGAGCUGCAGGUGACUGGACCCUUCAACCUCCAACUCAUUGCCAAGCAUGACCAGCUGAAAGUCAUCGAGUGCAAUGUCCGAGUCUCGCGCUCCUUCCCCUUCGUCUCGAAGACUCUGGGGGUGGACCUGGUGGCCUUGGCCACGCAAGUGACCAUGGGGGAGGAGGUGGAGCCAGUGGGACUCAUGGCAGGCACCGGCAUCGUGGGUGUCAAGGUGCCCCAGUUCUCCUUCUCCCGCCUGGCGGGGGCCGACGUGGUGUUGGGGGUGGAGAUGACCAGCACGGGGGAGGUGGCCUGCUUUGGGGAGAACCGGUGUGAGGCCUACCUCAAGGCCAUGCUGAGCACCGGGUUCAAGAUCCCCAAGAAGAACAUCCUGCUCACCAUAGGGAGCUACAAGAACAAAAGCGAGCUGCUUUCCACCGUCCACACUCUCGAGAGCCUGGGCUACAGUCUCUAUGCCAGCUUAGGCACAGCUGACUUCUACACAGAGCAUGGCAUCAAGGUGAAGGCCGUGGACUGGCACUUUGAGGAGGCGGCAGCGGCGGAGGGCAGCGAGGUGGCGGGCAAAGAGAACCAUCAGCGCAGCAUCCUGGAUUAUCUGGCGGAGAACCACUUUGAUCUGGUGAUCAACCUCUCCAUGCGCAACUCAGGGGGCCGGCGACUCUCCUCCUUCGUCACCAAGGGCUACCGCACCCGGCGCCUGGCUGUUGACUACUCUGUUCCCCUCAUCAUCGACAUCAAGUGCACCAAGCUCUUUGUGGAGGCCCUUGGGCAGAUCGGGGGGCCUCCUCCGCUGAAGAUGCACGUGGACUGCAUGACCUCCCAGAAGCUGAUCCGCUUACCAGGAUUGAUUGACAUCCAUGUGCAUUUGCGAGAACCAGGGGCCACUCACAAGGAAGACUUCGCAUCCGGCACAGCUGCUGCCCUGGCAGGAGGCAUCACUCUGGUCUGUGCCAUGCCCAACACUUCCCCUGCUGUCAUCGAUGCCGCCUCAUUUGCUCUCGUGCAGAAGUUGGCAGAGGCUGGAGCCCGCUGUGACUUCGCCCUUUACCUGGGGGCCUCCUCGGACAAUGCUGGCUCCCUGGGGCCAGUGGCCGGAGCUGCUGCUGGCCUCAAGAUGUACCUGAACGACACCUUCUCUGACCUGAAGAUGGACAACGUCUCUCUCUGGAUGGAGCACUUUGAAAAGUGGCCCAAACACCUUCCCAUCGUGGCUCAUGCCGAGAGGCAGACCGUGGCGGCCAUUCUGAUGGUGGCCCAGCUCUACCAGCGCCCCGUCCACAUCUGCCACGUGGCCCGCAAGGAGGAAAUCCUGAUCAUCAAGGCAGCCAAGCAGAAGGGCAUCGAGGUGACGUGCGAGGUGGCCCCCCAUCACCUCUUCCUCUGCCAGGAGGAUUUGGGGCGCAUUGGGGAGGGCCGGGGCCAGGUCCGCCCCAUGUUGGGCAGCCGUGAGGACAUGGAGGCCCUCUGGGAGAACAUGGACACCAUUGACUGCUUUGCCACAGACCAUGCCCCCCACACUCUGGAAGAGAAGCUGGGCAAGGAGCCCCCUCCAGGCUUCCCCGGCCUGGAGACAAUGCUGCCCCUCCUCCUGACGGCCAUCUCCGAGGGGCGCCUCACCGUGGAGGACAUUGUCACGCGUCUCUAUGAGAACCCCCGGCGCAUCUUCGGCCUCCCUGUGCAGGAGGACACCUAUAUCGAGGUGGACCUCGAGCAGGAAUGGCUGGUGCCCCCCAAUACAUCCUUCAGCAAGUCCCGCUGGACGCCCUUCGAAGGGAUGCGGGUGAAAGGGACAGUCCGGAGGGUCAUCCUCCGUGGAGAGGUGGCCUACAUCGACGGACAGGUCCUUGUGUCCCCAGGCUACGGGCAGGAUGUGCGGAAGUGGGUGGCCACAGCAACACCACUCCCAGUGCCCCCCAAAGAAGUCCUGAAGACCCCUGAGCGUGCCCACCCCACGGUGCAGACAGAGGCCCUGCGGUCCCGAGCGCUCAGUCCCCGGAGAACAGCUCCAGCGGGAGACGGGCGAUUCUACUUGGCUCCCCGGAUCCACCGUGCCUCUGACCCUGGGCUCCCAGCUGAUGACCUUCGGGAAAAAGUGGUGAAGAAAGCCGCAGAGCCUGAGCUCCCCAUGAUCCAGGACUGCCCCCUGUACCUCUCAGGCCCCUUACCCAGGCAGACGUCCCCCCAGAGCGUGCCGCACCCCCAGCCCUCCCCGUUCCUGCACCCGCUGGUGGGGCAGCAUGUCCUCUCGGUCACCCAGUUCACCAAGGGCCAGCUGUCUCACCUCUUCAACGUGGCGCACAACCUCCGCAUGAUGGUCCAGAAGGAGCGCAACCUCGACAUCCUCAAGGGGAAGGUGAUGGCCUCCAUGUUCUAUGAGGCCAGCACGCGGACCAGCAGCUCCUUCGCAGCCGCCAUGUUUCGCCUGGGGGGAUCCAUCCUCCCCUUCUCCGAGGCCACGUCCUCCUGUCAGAAGGGAGAGUCGCUGGCCGACUCUGUCCAGACCAUGAGCUGCUAUGCUGAUGUCCUGGUGCUCCGGCAUCCACAACCAGGGGCUGUGGAGCUGGCCGCCAGGCAUUGUCGCAAGCCUGUGAUCAACGCCGGCGAUGGAGUUGGAGAGCAUCCCACCCAGGCAAUGCUGGACAUCUUCACCAUCCGGGAGGAGCUGGGCACUGUUAACGGCAUGACGAUCACAAUGGUGGGCGACCUGAAGCACGGGCGGACAGUGCACUCACUGGCCCGGCUCCUCACCCUCUACCGCGUCAGCCUGCGCUACGUCACUCCCCCCAACCUGCGCAUGCCCUCUGACAUCUUUCACUUCGUGGCUUCUAAGGGGAUCAAGCAGGAGGAGUUUGAGAGCAUAGAGGAGGCCUUACCAGACACAGACGUCCUCUACGUGACCCGCAUCCAGAAGGAGCGCUUCGCUACGGCCCAGGAGUACGAGGCAUGUUUUGGGCAAUUCAUCCUGACUCCCCACAUCAUGACCCGGGCCAAGAAGAAGAUGGUGGUGAUGCACCCCAUGCCUCGCGUCAAUGAAAUCAGCUGUUGCUUCUCACGGCUGUGAGAAGCAACACGGCCUGAAUCUGAGAGGACCCUUCCUUCUGCACUGGUGGUUCAAUGCCAGUCCUCCAACCACAACAUUUGUGGAGGUGGACUCAGACCCUCGGGCGGCCUACUUCCGGCAGGCAGAGAACGGCAUGUACAUCCGCAUGGCGCUGCUAGCCACGGUCCUCGGUCGCUACUGAAGCUCUUUGCCCAUGGCACCCCUGACAAGGUGGACUGAUUUCUGCCCCGGUUCAAGGGCUGGGCUGUCACCCCACAGACCAAAGACGGCUGCUGCUGUUGUUGGCAGGCAAGGUUUGUGCCAGGGACACUGACAGGAGGCUGGCGGGAGAGCAGCCAUGCCAGUGGGGCAGAAAGGGCCUGUGGGCUUUUCUCCUGAGUGCUUGUCUUCCAUCUUAUCCUGGCUCCUGCCACGUCCCUUUGGGCAGAUGGGCUGGUUGGGUGCCCAGCCCUGGCUCUGCUUCCUUGGUCCUCUUUCUCCCUGUUUGGGAUCCAGAACCCCAUCCACUGCCUGCUUCCCACAUCUAGCAGCUGCCGGCUGCAACAGAAGAAGGAGGGCUGCCGCCUUUCAAGUCCUUGGAGGGUGAGGCGGGGGCUCCUUGUAGGACCAUUCCAGGUUGUGACGCACAUUGCUGGCUGCCCUGGGAGUAGCCCUUGGCUGCCACUUUUGUACUUAGAUCUGUGAACCAAGUCGACUCCCUUGUUUUUUCUUUUCCUUUUUUUAAUAAAAAAAUACAAAAUAGAAUUAGUAGAA